ACGGAAGGCAGCAGUGGGGAAUAUUGCACAAUGGGCGCAGGCCUGAUGCAGCAACGCCGCGUGAGGGAAGACGGUUUUCGGAUUGUAAACCUCUGUUCUUAGUGACGAAGAAGUGACGGUAGCUAAGGAGCAAGCCACGGCUAACUACGUGCCAGCAGCCGCGGUACUACGUAGGUGGCAAGCGUUAUCCGGAAUUACUGGGUGUAAAGGGAGCGCAGGCGGGAUAGCAAGUCAGCGGUGAAAUGUAUGGGCUUAACCCAUGAACGGCCGUUGAAACUGUUAUUCUUGAGUGGAGUAGAGGCAGGCGGAAGUCCGAGUGUAGCGGUGAAAUGCGUAGAUAUUCGGAGGAACACCAGUGGCGAAGGCGGCCUGCUGGGCUCUAACUGACGCUGAGGCUCGAAAGUGUGGGGAGCAAACAGGAUUAGAUACCCUGGUA
rnacentral:rRNA from 1 species